rnacentral:rRNA from 1 species
AGAUUGAACUGAAGAGUUUGAUCCUGGCUCAGAUUGAACGCUAGCGGGAUGCCUUACACAUGCAAGUCGAACGGCAGCACGGACUUCGGUCUGGUGGCGAGUGGCGAACGGGUGAGUAAUGUAUCGGAACGUGCCCAGUAGCGGGGGAUAACUACGCGAAAGCGUAGCUAAUACCGCAUACGCCCCACGGGGGAAAGCAGGGGAUCGCAAGACCUUGCACUAUUGGAGCGGCCGAUAUCGGAUUAGCUAGUUGGUGGGGUAAUGGCUCACCAAGGCGACGAUCCGUAGCUGGUUUGAGAGGACGACCAGCCACACUGGGACUGAGACACGGCCCAGACUCCUACGGGAGGCAGCAGUGGGGAAUUUUGGACAAUGGGGGAAACCCUGAUCCAGCCAU